AGUGAACGCUGGCGGUAUGCCUAACACAUGCACGUCGAACGGCAGCACAGUGAGAGCUUGCUCUUACGGGUGGCGAGUGGCGGACGGUUGAGGAAUACAUCGGAAUCUACUUUUUCGUGGGGGAUAACGUAGGGAAACUUACGCUAAUACCGCAUACGACCUACGGGGGAAAGCAGGGGAUCUUCGGGCCUUGCGCGAGUGAAUGAGCCGAUGUCGGAGUAGCUAGUUGGCGGGGUAAAGGCCCACCCAGGCGACGAUCCGUAGCUGGUCUGAGGGGAUGAACACCUACAUGGGCACUGAGAAACGGCCCCGACACUUACGCGAGGACGCAGUGGGGAAUACUGGGCAAGGGGGGAAUGCCGGAUACAGCAAUACCGCGUGGGGGCAGAUGGACUUAGGGUUGUAAAGCCAUUUUGUCGGGAAAGAAAAGCAGCAGGUUAAUACCCCGCUGUUCUGACGGUACCGAAAGAAUAAGCACCGGCUAACUUCGUG
rnacentral:rRNA from 1 species